rnacentral:misc_RNA from 1 species
GAUGAAGAACGUAGUGAAAUGCGAUAAGUAAUGUGAAUUGCAGAAUUCAGUGAAUCAUCGAAUCUUUGAACGCACAUUGCGCCCGCCAGUAUUCUGGCGGGCAUGCCUGUUCGAGCGUCAUUUCAACCAUCAAGCCCCAGGCUUGUGUUGGAGCCCUGCGGCUGCCGCAGCCUCCCAAAACCAGUGGCGGGCUCGCUAUCACACCGAGUGCAGUAGUUUACUCUUCGCUCAGGGCGUGUGGCGGGUGCUAGCCGUAAAACCCCCAACUUCUCAAGGUUGACCUCGGAUCAGGUAGGAAUACCCGCUGAACUUAAGCAUAUCAAUAGCGGAGGA